rnacentral:lncRNA from 1 species
AUGCCCUCUGAUCUGUCCUUACCCAGGAGGAAGUGGGUGCCUGCCAGAGAGGAGCCUCCCAUGAGUCAGGUGUCCCCACUGCCUCCACACACAGGUGCACAUGAUGACCAACAUCACUGUCUACGUGUGCUUCCUCCUCAGGGAGACACUCAGAGACGCAGGCACUUUCUUGUUGGCUCCUCCUCGUCUGGGCUCCACUUGACUCAACAUCUCAGGGAACAGCUGAAGCUUCUGGAGGCAGCUGGUUUGGAUGGGAUUUUCUUUGGUGGAUUUUAUGAGAAGAAAGCUCACCCAGCAGUCUGUACUGCGUGUGGGUCCUGGCCCGGUAUGUCCCUGAGUGUGGGGGGCAGGACCAGAAGACAGCUGCUAAUGAGGAGAAAUGUGCUACCUGCUUCCCCACAGGAUUCAGGGACUCAGAGUGAUCCAGCUGUGGAGACUGUACUGAUUCCUGCCAAGUCUGAAAUCCAUAGAGAUGAGGAUCCACCUUUCUCAGUGCACGGCCAACCACACCCCUCUGAGGGGAUUACAUGAUUAUAGACAAGGGGAGGAAGAACUGAAGGAAUGGCAUGUUUUCAGACUUUCACUUAAUUUUGGGAAGAAGAAAGUAUGGUCAAAAUAAUUUUCAGUAUUCAGCCUAAAGCUGAAAAGUGCUAUGUUAAUUUCCUGUUGCUGCUGUAAAAAGUCACCACAAAGUUACUGCUUGAAAACAGCACAAAUUUAUUCUCUUACUAUUCUGGGGUUCGGAAGCCUGUAAUAAGUCUUUUGAGGAUAAAAUCAAGAUUUUGGCAGGGCUGAAUUUUUCUGGAGUUUCCAAGGGAGAGUCCUUUCCCUGCUCUUUCAACUUCUGGAGGCUGCUGGCAUUCCUUGGCUUGUGGCCCCUUCUUCACAUCCCUCCAACUUCUUACUUCCAUCAUCACAUCUCCUGCUACAGACUAGGAUCUUCUGCCUUUCUUCCUUUUAUCAGGACCCUUGUGAACACAUUGGAUCUAUCCAGAUUGUCCAAUCUACUCUCCCCAGCUCAAGAUCCUUCAUCACAUCUGCAAAGCGCCACUUUGCCAUUUAAGAGCAUUCACAGGUUCCAGGGAUUAUCACUUGGACGUCUUUGAGGACCAGCAUUCAGUUGACCACAAGUACCAAAAGUCCAAGCUCCAUGGCUUUCUUUAAGGGGAAAUGUAUUUUAUAAGUGUAUUCUAAAUGUUGAUAUUGGCCAACAUAAGCAUAUCUUCCUCACUUCAUCCCCAAGAGAAACUGCAUAUUACCUUGAGUCUACUGUGCCCAAAUUUGGGCUGGAAGGCUGGGUGCCACAAGCCUGUGUGUUGCUGCUUUUCCCAAGUUGCAUCUGCUUUGCUCACAGGUGCUGCUGAGUCCUUCCCUUGCCUCAUCUGGUGGCCUUCUCAAGGGACCCUAGUGGAUUGGGCUUGCUUGACCCCCAUUUUCCAGCCCUUGGUGGGAAAAAACCUUACCUUGAUGUGGACUUUCCUUCUAGAACAUGCCUGAGUAAAUUGAGUAGAUGUGGUUGAAGCAGUGCUAC